GAGAUGAAUGUAUCGGAAGAAUAAGGAUCGGCUAACUUCGUGCCAGCAGCCGCGGUAAUACGGAGGAUCCGAGCGUUAUUCGGAUUUAUUGGGUUUUAAGGGUGCGUAGGCGGCCUGUUAAGUCAGGGGUGAAAUACCGUGGCUCAACCUUCGCACUGCCUUUGAUACUGACGGGCUUGAAUCCAUAUGAAGUGGGCGGAAUAACACAAGUAGCGGUGAAAUGCAUAGAUAUGUCUAAGAACUCCGAUGGCGAAGGCAGCUCACUGAGCUGGUAUUGACGCUGAUGCGCGAAAGCGUGGGGAUCGAACAGGAUUAGAUACCCUGGUAGUCCACGCCCUAAACGAUGAUAGCUCGAUGUUGGCGAUAAACCUGCUCCGUGCCAGCCGAAAGCGUUAAGUUAUCCCCCUGGGGAGUACGCCCGCAAGGGUAGAAACUCUCAGGAAUUGACGGGGGCCCGCACAAGCGGAGGAGCAUGUGGGUUAAUUCUAUGAUACGCGAGGAACCUUACCCGGGCUCGAGAGUUACUGGAGGAUGCAGAGACACAUCCGUCCUUCUGGACACGAAGCUACGUGCUGCAUGGCUGUCUGCAUCUCGUGCCGUGAGGUGUUGGGUUAAGUCCCGCAACGAGCGCAACCCCUAUGUUUAGUUGCCAUCAUGUUAUGGUGGGGACUCUAAACAGACUGCCUGUGCAAACAGAGAGGAAGGUGGGGACGACGUCAAGACAUCAUGGCCCUUACGUCCGGGGCUACUCACGUGCUACAAUGCACGGUACAUCGUGAAGCUAGCUGGCAACACCAUGCUAAUCUCUUAAUCUCGUUCACAGUUCUCAUCGCGGACUGCAACUCGACCCCGUGAAGUUGGAUUCGCUAGUAAUCGCGUAUCACCAAUGACGCGGUGAAUACGAUCCCGGGCCUUGUACACGCCGCCCGUCAAGCCAUGACAGUGGGAGGUACCUAUAGCAUGUUGCCGCGAGGAGCGUGUCAGGGUGAAACUGAUCAUUGGGGCUAAUCGACGGGGG
rnacentral:rRNA from 1 species